ACAAGUGUUUAAAAACAAUGUCCAAACACCACACAGCCUUGUGAGUAACAGCCGGGAGUUAUAGAUCCGUUGGCGGCCACUUCCUCCACCGCGCGGGGACAGCCAGGGGGGUGUUGAGCUGUUGGACCCGUCGCGACAUUUUUUAUAUAAACAAAUGUAAACAUACAUAUUUUAUAUUAUUAAAAUUUAUAUUAAAUGCUGCAGGUGGGCAGUGGAGAUUGUCGCAACGAGUACAACGGCCCACAUCAACACUGGCACGGCCAGGAGUGCGGUGAAAAGGGGGGACCAACAACGGAUCGAUAGUGGUUAUACAGUCUUUGUGUUAUCCCUUGUCUUUAAAUGUACCAACAUGUGUUAUCUUUGGGGCCGACAACCGCCACGUCUCCGCCGUGGCCCUGGGUAACGCAAAGAGCGGUAUAUAAAUGCGCGUAACUUCCACAAUUUUCGUUUACGGAAGCUAAAUUCGGAAGAUUCGGAAACGUCAGGAAAAAAGCUAAAAAACCAUCUAUAAUACAUCAAAAUCGGGACGGCGGCCCUUUUCUAGACAUUUACCACAUUUUCAUUUUUGCUCUCUUUAGGUGCUAGCGAAUUUUUAGUUUUUUGAAGUUUCACGCCUUGGAUAGGGGAAAAGUGUCGGUCGCGGGUGUCACUUUCAAAACGGUAUAGAUGGCUCUCACGACAGGUUUCGGACACACGCACAUGCAGAUAUAGCGCUAAAUAAUAUGAAAUUUACCGGGAUUGAUGUACAUUUACUCCAAAAACUGCUUCAACUACGCGUUUGAUGUAGGUUGCGUAUUAAUUGGUGGGGAUUGCAAUGAUUGCGAUGGUGACUGUGUCCACUGAUUAUUGGAAGCUCUUCGAGGAGUACGUGGAGGAGGAUCUUCACAUGGACAACAACA